rnacentral:rRNA from 1 species
AUACGGAGGGGGCUAGCGUUGUUCGGAAUUACUGGGCGUAAAGCGCACGUAGGCGGCUUUGUAAGUCAGAGGUGAAAGCCUGGAGCUCAACUCCAGAACUGCCUUUGAGACUGCAUCGCUUGAAUCCAGGAGAGGUCAGUGGAAUUCCGAGUGUAGAGGUGAAAUUCGUAGAUAUUCGGAAGAACACCAGUGGCGAAGGCGGCUUACUGGACUGGUAUUGACGCUGAGGUGCGAAAGCGUGGGGAGCAAACAGGAUUAGAAACCCUAGUAGUCC